AGAUUUAUGUAUUUGACAGGCAGAGUUAUGGAGAGAGGGAGAGACAGGUCUUCCAUUUGCUGGUUCACUCCCCAGAUAGCCGCAAUGGCUGGAGCUGCACUGAUCUGGAGCCAGGAGCUUCUUCUGGGUCUCCCACGUGGAUGCAGGGGCCCAAGAACUUGGGCCAUCUUCUGCUUUCCCAGGCCUUAGCAGAGAGCUGGAUAGGAAAAGGAACAGCUGGGUCUUGAACCGGAGCCCAUAUGGGAUGCUGGCACUUCAGGCUGGGGCUUUCACCUGCUGCGCCACAGUGUUGGCCCUAAAGUCUUUAAAUGAACACCAGAUUGCACACUUUGGGAGCUAGGUGAGUGCAGUCACCUUACUGUCGGGCUGGCGUUUUCUUCAGGAACCCAGGAACCCUGAGUAGUGCCCUGCUAUCCCUUCACCCCCAGCACGAGGCCCCCAGAGCCAGACACAGAGCAGAGGAGAGGAGAGGGACUGCCCCCUCGUACUUCCGCCUCCUUUCCUUGUCCCUGAGGGACACUGCCUGCUCGUGGAAGUCCGCAACACAACACCCGUCCUGCCCGCUGACCACCAGCCACGGCCACAGUGUUUCCACACAGAAACCACCGCUGCUGCUCCCGGUGGGAGCCAGAGGCCAGCCGGGAGCUUCCCCCUUCUCCUUGUCUUUGUCUUGAAUUUCCCUUCCCCCUUCAGUCUGCCGCAGCCCUCGUCUCGGCGUGUUUUGGUUUUCCCUGCUGCCGUCAUGUACACCUUCGCCCGCUCUUCCUGACAGCAGCAGCUGUAGUAAACAUGCCCGGCCCGGCCCUACAGGUUGGGCCAGGUGUUUGUCACAUUAAACCACAUUAUUCUUCUGUUCUUCAUUGCCUGACACACUACAGAAAAAUUAUUCCCAACCUGUGGACUGUCCACGAUGGGCCCAAGUUAGCGUUGCAAAAUCACUUUUAAUCAGAAAUUUUAAAUUCCUCUUAGUUUUUUGUUUUGUUUUGUUUUUGCCACUUUAGGGGAGGAGAAAGAUGCAAUGAUUCAAGUAAAGUGGUUACUCUCUUAAGCAUACUAAUGUUCAGGGCUGUGCUGUGUUAGAACACAGUCAUCACGUGGCUCUAGAAUCUUCCUGUCAAAAUCACAUGACAACACAGCCUCAGUCAUCGUUUCUUUCCAGAGCCUCUGAAACCCUACUGUGCGUCGUGACUCUCCAAGAGGAGACUGCCUCCAGGCUUGCCACCACGGAACCCUCUCUGCCCUGAGGAUCUUCGGGAAAGGAGACUGACUGUGGAACCCUCUGGAAAGCACCCUGCAGCGGGCCUGGCACCCAGCAGCAAACACUGAAGGAAUGUCUGAAUGCCAUGAAAACAGUUACAGUAUCCCUUUAGUCAAGUCACCAGUAUGCUGUUUAUUUUUACACUUAGCUUACGUUUAUACACACACACAACAUAUUGGUGUUUUGACUAGAGUUGCAGUGGAUAUGUGGAUCAGUUUGUAAUUUGACAUCUUUCAAAAUUUUCAGUCCACAAAUACAAGCUUUUUUAAAGAAGUUUUUUAGGUAUUUCAUCUUGUGUAGUGAUUUCUCAUCUUACCUUUUUAAACAAACAAACAAAAAAGAUUUAUUUAUUUGAAAGGCAUAUCAACAGAGGCAGAUCUUCCAUCUGCUGGUUCACUCCCCAAAUGACCUCAACAGCCAGCUCCAGGCCAGGUAGAAGCCUGAAGGCGGGACUCCACCCAGGUCUCCCGCUGGGAGGCAGGGGCUCAAGUACUUGAGUAUGGUGCUGAUGUAGGACACAAAGCUGGAUGCCAGGGAGCAGAUCAAGAAACAAGACUUGGCUCAAGGCCUGUCACUGGCUGGCAGAUUAUCCUUUUGUUUUGCAAAUGAAUGUGCCUCUGAGGGUUCCUGAGCAUUUUAUUCAAGCCUCCUCUUUGGAUGAGUCUUCACUGAUUAAAAAAUCUUCAAACCAAAGAAAUAGCUACACCUUUUAAUGCCUUAACUUGUACUUCCAAAGUCUAGAUAAACAUGUUUUGGUGUGGCCACGGAGGAGAGCCUCUGUCAUCCCUAGGAAUACAGUAGGAUUUUGAACAAAUGUUUCCUUGUGCGGAAAGGCUGAGCUCUCAUCAGCCCUCUGGAUUCGUGCCUAUACAAAGCAGGUAUAAUUGGAGCAGAGGUAAGCCUGAAAAUCAUGACAAUCUCAGACUCACCAGCUCAGCACAAAAUGUUGGCUUCCUGACAGUUUACAAAAACACACCGAUCACCUUGUGAUAACAUCAAGCUGAAGAGGGUGUGAACACCGUGGUUUUCAAUAGUUUGUCUGACCUGGUUUUUAUAACCAGGAGACAAUAAUUUUGUAGAAAUUGUUAAUGAUUCAACUCUUAAAAAAAAACUUAUUUAUAUGAAAGGCAGAAUUAGAGGGAGAGAGCUUCCAUCUGCUAGUACAAUCCCCAAAUGGUUGCAAUAGCCCAGGUAGGGGCAGGCUACAAGCCAGGAACUCCUGGUUGUCCUGUGUUGGUGACAGAGCCCCAAGCGCUUGGGCCCUCUUCCUCUGCUUUCACAGGCAUCUUUGCAGGGAGCUAGAUCAUAAGUGGAACAGCCAGGACUUGAACUGGUGCCCAUAUAUGGGAUGCCGUGUUACAGGCAAUGGUUUAACCUGGUAUCCCACAAUGCCAACCCCAACGAUUCAACUCUUAAAAGUUUGUACUACUUACAGUUAUAAAUUUUGAAUCCUUAGAAUUGAAUAUCUAAAAUCAGUAGCCUGAAUAGUUUUUGGUUAUUUGUUUUCAAACUAAUUUCAGCUCAUUCAACCAACUACUGUUUGAGUAUCUCGUGUGUACCCAGUGCCACCAGGUUUUGUGCCAAGCACUAGGGGUAUUGUUUGGAAGCAAAAGCACAGGGUUAUCUGCUCUCUUGGAUGCUACUGCAAGGAACACGAGCCAAACAGAUGCGUCAGCCAUGGCAAGUGCUGUCAGGCAGAUACCGAGUGCCUAAGUGCGCCGGGGCAGCCUUGGUCAGGGUCAUGGAAGGCUCUUGAGCAGAAGUCAAGCUGGACCUGAGAGGUGGGCGAUGAGCUGCGUGGACAGAAGGCCAGUGCAGCUGGAGCACAGAGAGCGGAGGGAGGCAGAGGCCAGCUCUGGGCUGCUUAGAACAUCUUCGGUGACUUAGGCCUGCUGCUGGGAAAACACGAAAUGAUUAAUUUUUGAGGAAGUGAGGAGACUGGCUUGCUAUUUAGCCUAAUGAUUGGGAGACAUACUUUUUGGAAAAAAAAUUAAUAUAUUCAAAGUUUAAUUCCUAUUUUUCCUUUCUGGACUAUAUAUAAAAUAAUGAUAUAGUUGAUAGCAUUUUAGAGCUGCUGAAACACGGUGAUCAGGUUUGCAGUUGAAGAUCACGUUGGAUGUAAUAUAAAGAACAGAUUUUUAUCUGCAUGGAUCAAGGUAUUUAUAUGACUUAACAAAAUGCAGAAACUGCUGAUGCUGAGUAACACUGAUACUGAUUUUCAUCUAUAUUAUAGUGCUCAAUUUCAAAAUUUUCUAUCAGAUUGUUCUCUAACUUUAUCAUAGCUAAAUACUAUCAAUCGAAAUUUAUAAAAAGUCUAUCUUCACUAAAUACCCCCUUUUAUUCAGUAGAUAAGCUUAAAUUGGUAUAGAUCAAUAUAGAUGAAAAAUCUGUAUAGACUUGCCCUUUAAAGGGAAAAUUCUGCUUUGGGAAACUAAACAUUUGAAAACUACUAGUCUAGGUAGUAGGAAUCCAUAAGGGCUAUUUGUGCAGGAGAAUAGAAUGAUGGAAGCUUUAGAAUAGAACGGUGACUCUGGCCACAGCCACGUGGAAGAUAAAAAGGAGAGGGAAAAGGUGCUGUGAGAACAAGCGAGGAGAGGUAGGCUUGCUCUCUCUCCCCCAAGAAAUAGAAAGCUUUCUACUUCCUAAAAAUAGAAGGGUUAUAUGAAAUAACACAUAUCUCUUCCUAACACAUCUCUUUCCUGUUAAAGCUGUAUUACAAUGUCUCUUCAGCACUUUUAGCCAAGAACUCCAUGUAGGUCUCCCAAAUGGGUGGCAGUGACCUAAGUACUUGAGACAUCACCUGCUGCCUCCCAGUCUGUACACUGGCAGAAAGCUGGAUUGAAAGUGGAACAGCCUGGACCCACCAGCACUCUGAUUUGGGAUGUGGGAGUCCCAAGUAGAGCUUAACUUGUUAUGCCACAAUAACCAGCCUGGCCACCCUUCUUGUAAGAGAUAAUCUUGGAUAAUGAAUACGUGGAAGAGUAAGGAGGAGCUAGAGGCAGCCACUGAUACAGAAUUUGACAUAAAACAGUAUGAAUGUAGAAACAACUCUUUCCUGUUGGAUGCCAGUCUAUUCUGUUUUAAAAAUGCUGAAUAGGGGGCCAGUGUUAUGGCGUAGCAGCUAAAGCCACUGCCUGUGAUGAUGGUACCCCAUAUGGGUACCAGUUCCUGUCUCGGCUGCUCCACUGCUAAUCCAGCUCCCUGCUGAUGGCCUGGGGAAAGAAGCGGAAGAUGGCUCAAGUGUUUAGGCCCUUGCUACCACAUGGGAGACCCAGAUGAAGAUCCUGGCCCCUGCUUUUGGCCUAGUUCAGCCCUGGCUAUUGCAGCCAUCUGGGGAGUAAACCAGCAGAUGGAAGAUCUCUCUCCUCUCUCUCUGUUUCUCCCUCUCUCACUAUAUAACUCUUUCAAACAAGUAAAUAUUUUUUAAAAUGGAAAUAAAUAAAAAUGGUGGCCAUCUUGGCCAUUACCAUGACUCUACCCAAGACACUAGAGAAACUAAGAGGCAGUUGGUCACAUUUUUUAAUGCUUUUGCAUUUUGUCUACUUUAUCAAAUUUAUUUUUCUCAGUUGGCCUUGUUUAAGCUGUGACUAAAGAAUCCUUUUAAAUAAAUGAAAUAUUAUUCCUAAGUA